rnacentral:rRNA from 1 species
GCAAGUCGAGCGCGCCUUCGGGCGAGCGGCGGACGGGUUAGUAACGCGUGGGAACGUGCCCAGAUCUACGGAAUAGCCACUGGAAACGGUGAGUAAUACCGUAUACGCCCUUCGGGGGAAAGAUUUAUCGGAUUUGGAUCGGCCCGCGUUAGAUUAGGUAGUUGGUGGGGUAACGGCCUACCAAGCCUACGAUCUAUAGCUGGUUUUAGAGGAUGAUCAGCAACACUGGGACUGAGACACGGCCCAGACUCCUACGGGAGGCAGCAGUGGGGAAUCUUGGACAAUGGGGGCAACCCCGAUCCAGCCAUGCCGCGUGAGUGAAGAAGGCCCUAGGGUCGUAAAACUCUUUCGCCUGUGAUGAUAAUGACAGUAGCAGGUAAAGAAACCCCGGCUAACUCCGUGCCAGCAGCCGCGGUAAUACGGAGGGGGUUAGCGUUGUUCGGAAUUACUGGGCGUANAGCGCACGUAGGCGGAU